UUUUUUGAGUACACAUGUGGUGGGGGCGAGCUAGUAUAGUAAAAGGUAGAAAAAAAAAGAAGUUCAGCGGAGUCAUGGAGGCGGACGCGGAGGCGAGCGCGACCGCGGCGGCGGUGGCGGCUGGAUCGUCGCUGGCGGCUCAGGAUGUCAUCUUCCCGGUAGAUCCAGUGUGCAGGCUGCCGAUCUUCCAUGGCGAAGCGCUGUCGGCGUGCUCGGUGCAGGGCGGCGAUUUGGCCUAGAACCAAACAGGGGGUGUGGCUUCUUCGGUGGAUGGCAAAGGCAGCUGCGGCGCCCCCGCCGGCGAGUGUAGUGCGGAGAGCGCACCGGCAGAGUCGGGGGAGUCAGCAGUAAAACCUGAUCCAAAUAGUGUAGGCUGGAUUAGAAGGUACAUCUUGCUUGCGCUGUAGCUACGCACAAAAAAUGAUGGUAGAAGUGAUUGGGAAACAUGUUCUUGUUUGGUUUUUGGGCCGGUGGUGGCUGAUAUUUAUGGUUUCAAUUGGAAUGAAAAGGGAGUAAUCAAGUUAAAUUUUUUUAAUUGAUGCUAAUGGCAUUAUGUUCACUGAAUUUUAUCCAGACGUGGUAGGCAUUCGUAACUGACAAGCAGUAGCUUUAGCCCUGUUCGGCGAUAAUGGGAUUCAGUCGCCAAGUUUAAAAAAGCUGUUUUACGCUGUCUGCUAAAGGCUCGUGUGAUAACCAUGAAUUUGUUGGAGCAUGACUCGUCACUAAUCCUAGGGAAAAUAAAGGAACGAAUACAUAGGGGAUUCAUGUUGAGUACUGCAUUUUGUUUUCUAAAAGUAGCGACGGAAAAACUGUUCCUGAAAAUGACAUUGAAAAUCUCUUGGUUGCAUCAGAGUCCGAGUUGGAGCAAAUCCAAUUGAGCGAACACCCUGCCCUGGGAGGAUGGGGGCUCUAGAGAAGACAAUUAGGGGCUUUGCGGAAAGGGCUGGGGAUGAAGUGGUGAAGCCGGAGCUCGGGACAUCUUUUGACUCACUAACAGAGGCGUACGAUUUUUACAACUUAUAUUCAUGGGAGCAUGGGUUUGGUAUUAGAUACGGAAAGAGCCGACUUAAUCUAGAUAAAAGAAAGACCAUGCAGGAGAUUGUGUGCGGCUGCUCGGGGAAACCUCUGCGUGAGAAUACACGUUCUUGCAGAUGUGAGUGUCCAGCAAUGAUAAGGUUGUUAAGGACAUCGGACAACGGCUGGUACAUAACGGAGCAUCGAGUCAAGCAUAAUCAUGUGAUGACGCCAAAUUGUGGAGAAAUGCUGCACUGGCCAUCUCACAAGCACAUUGAUGUGUACACCAAAGAUCUGGUUCGGAACCUACGGAAGAACAACAUCAACCUCAGCAAGGUGUACAGCAUUAUAGCUGGGUUUUUUUGGCACAGUUGAGAGUGUGCCUUUCACGAAACGGUCUCUUCGUAAUUUGUGUGGACAGAUAAGCCGUGACGAGGCAGAGGAUGAUGUUAGAAAAACGAUUGAAGUUUUCGAUGAGCUUGGAGCUAAGGAUCCUGAAUUUCUGUUCAGGGUGCAGCCAGACUGGGAAGGCAGGAUAAGGAAUUUGAUGUGGGCAACAGGAGAUAGCCGGUUGAAAUACAAGUUUUUUGGUGAUGUUGUCACUUUCGAUACGACUUAUCGGACGAACGUGUACAACAUGCCGUUUGGUUUAUUUGUUGGAGUGAACAACCACUACCAGAGUAUACUCCUAGCAGGAGUGCUGAUGAGGGACGAGCAGGUGGAGAGCUUCGAGUGGGUCUUCACCGAGUUUGUUAGGAUGAUGGGUGGGGUGGCUCCUCGUACGAUACUUACGGAUCAGUGUGGAGCGAUGUAGAUUGGUAUAAAAAAGACACUUCCUAACACAGUCCAUCGGUGGUGCAAAUGGCAUGUACUGAAGAAAGCAAAAGAAAGUCUGGGAGCACUCUAUGGAAAGAGGAACGAAUUCAGGCAGGAAUUUCAUAAGGUUGUGAACCACAUGUUAACGGUGGACGAAUUUGAGGAGGCGUGGCACAAUUAUUAGAGAAACACAACCUGAAGGAGCACUCGUACAUGACUCAGCUCUUUGAGAUUAGGGAGAAAUGGGCUAAGCCAUACAUCAAAGGAGUCUUUUGUGCAAAAAUGACCAGUACCCAACGCAGCGAGAGUGCAAACCAUAUGCUUAAGUGCUAUGUUCCACCAGGAUCGCCAAUGCAUAUGUUUGUGAGGCAAUACAUGAGGCUGCAGUUUGAUAGGUCGUCUGACGAGAGUUACGAGGAGAAGAGAACAAAAAUAGGAGGGGUUGUGAUGCGGACGGACUCAUCUAUCGAGCUGGAUGCAAGCAGAAUUUACACGAGAUCCAUGUUCGAGCAGUUCCAACUCAUUCUGUACGAAGCAUGGGGGUACCGAGUGCAGGAGGUAGAGCAAAACUCAUUGUACAGGGCGACGCACACAAGACCUGACCAGCGUGAGAAAUGGAGCAGAGUCGUCUUCAUGGUGAGAAAUGGAGCAGAGUCGUCUUCAUGGUGAGAAUGCAUGACGACGGCGACCGGUUUGAAUGCGAGUGCGGGCUUUUUGAACACAUGGGUAUGCUUUGUGCCCACGUCUUGAAGGUUAUGGACUACCUAGGAAUGACUAGGAUUCCCAAGAAGCACAUCGUGAAACGGUGAACGAAGGAUGUGCGGGACAUACUACCAGAACACCUGCAGCACUAUCAGCGUGAUAAGAUUAGUACAACAACUUUGACAUUCAGACAUAACAGAAUGUACGUGCAGGCGCUGGAGUUGGUCAGGCUAGGGGAUGCUAGUGUGGAAGCUUAUGACACGUUAAUGGCUCUAUUCAACCAAGCGCUUGUGGUGAUGAAUGUUAGCACUAAUCUUGUCAUGAUGUACCAGCAUGCAUGUUUAGUUUUGAGUUUGCAUGUAGUUUAGAUGAUCUAGGGCAGUGUAUGUAGGCCAAUGAUACUUCAGCUAGGCGCGUGAAGAAAGCGAGAUGCCGGGCUGCCGUGCGAUGCGGUGAGCAUGGCAAGAUGCCGAUGAUGUCGUGCGAUACGGCGAGGCUGUGAGAAGCAGCGAGACGCGACGAAGCUGGAGGAUGAUGGGCUGCUCGUUCAGGUUGAGCCGAGUGAUUUGGCCAAGCCGUAGUUAGUUAGAGUGUGCUGGUUGGUUGUAGCUAGCUAGCUUCGUGCAUGAAGUAGUAGGCCACGUUGAGACGUGGAAUUGGUUUUAGAUAUGGCCGAGUCUUGUCGCUGCUGGAGUGAUUCUAGCUUGGAGUAGGAUAAGGCAGUUAGCAUGUGCAUGUAGAUAGGACUAGUUAGUGCAUGCAGGACGUGCUGUUAGUGGCCGAUUAUGAUGGCCGGUUAGUGCGUGCGUGAUGGCCGGACGUGAUGGCUGGCUGUGUGCCCUCCUGUGUAUAUAUAUUUCACAUUGAGCAAUGAAGAAGAGGCCGUGAGGGCUGGCAGAAAUAAUGUAGUGCAUGUGUGUCUCACCGGGAGUGAAAAGCAAAGCUGUGUUCUCCACGGUGAGGUGUGCGCUUGUGUUUUCUGAGUUUCACCAUGUGUGUGUGUUCUUGUGUGAGACAAAGAGAGUUGAGCUGUGAGAGGCAGCAAGAGGUAGAAGAAGAAGGGGCGCUGCGAGAGGGCAGCGCCAACAAUUGGCAUCAGAGCCUUGUUGAUCCGUGGCGGCGACGACGGUGCCGGCGGCUAUGGUGGCCGGCGUGGCGCUGGGUGCGAGGUGAUGGCUGGCAGCGGCGCGAUGCCGCGGGCGGCCGGUUGCGGUGCGAUGCCGCGAGAUGAAGGUGGUGCGAUGAUCGGCGUCGCGAGGACGUCAUCCACGACAAGAUGGUCCGUGGUGACCGGCGCUGCGACGGCGUCGGUUGUGGCGCGACGGACUUCAUGCGAGAUGGAGGCCGACGGCGCAAGAAGGAGGAUGGUGGCCAUGCGGUGCCGCUAUGUGAAGAUGGCGGUGCGAAGCUGCCACAAGAAGAGUCGGCGUGAUGCCGAUGACGGUGGUGUGAUGCCAUCGUCAUCAUGGAAAGUUGGUGUGAAGCCAACAAAAGUUGCGGUGCGAUGCCGCUUGGCGAAGACGGCGUGGUGAUCGGCGCUGCGACAGCGUCGUCCACAUCGAGAGGAGGCCGCCACGAGCGGCAAGUCGGCAUGGUGGUUGGCGCUGCGACGGCGUCGUGCACGGCAAGGUGUUGCGGGCGAUCCGCGAGAGGAACUGGCGGUUUAGCAUGACAAGAUUAGGGAGGUGAUUGUUAGCACUAAUCUUGUCAUGAUGUACCAGCAUGCAUGUUUAGUUUUGAGUU